rnacentral:rRNA from 1 species
CCUACGGGUGGCUGCAGUGGGGAAUUUUCCGCAAUGGGCGAAAGCCUGACGGAGCAAUACCGCGUGAGGGAGGAAGGCUUUUGGGUUGUAAACCUCUUUUCUCAAGGAAGAAGCAAGUGACGGUACUUGAGGAAUCAGCAUCGGCUAACUCCGUGCCAGCAGCCGCGGUAAUACGGAGGAUGCAAGCGUUAUCCGGAAUCAUUGGGCGUAAAGCGUCCGCAGGUGGCGUAUCAAGUCUGCUGUCAAAGACUAGAGCUCAACUCUGGAAAGGCAGU